CGCGUGCAGGAAGAAGGCUUCGGGUUGUAACUGCUUUUGUCAGGGAAGAAAUCUUCUGGGCUAAUACCCCGGGAGGAUGACGGUACCUGAAGAAUAAGCACCGGCUAACUACGUGCCAGCAGCCGNGGUAAUACGUAGGGUGCGAGCGUUAAUCGGAAUUACUGGGCGUAAAGCGUGCGCAGGCGGCUUUGCAAGACAGAUGUGAAAUCCCCGGGCUCAACCUGGGAACUGCAUUUGUGACUGCAAGGCUAGAGUACGGCAGAGGGGGAUGGAAUUCCGCGUGUAGCAGUGAAAUGCGUAGAUAUGCGGAGGGACACCAAUGGCGAAGGCAAUCCCCUGGGGCCUGUACUGACGCUCAUGCACGAAAGCGUGGGGAGCAAACAGGAUUANAUNCCUGGUAGUCCCGCCCUAACGAUGUCAACUGGUUGUGGACGGCUUGCUGU
rnacentral:rRNA from 1 species